UACGUAGGGUGCGAGCGUUAAUCGGAAUUACUGGGCGUAAAGCGUGCGCAGGCGGUUGGUUAAGUCUGAUGUGAAAGCCCCGGGCUCAACCUGGGAAUGGCAUUGGAAACUGGCUGGCUAGAGUGUGGCAGAGGGGGGUGGAAUUCCGCGUGUAGCAGUGAAAUGCGUAGAGAUGUGGAGGAACACCGAUGGCGAAGGCAGCCCCCUGGGCUAACACUGACGCUCAGGCACGAAAGCGUGGGGAGCAAACAGG
rnacentral:rRNA from 1 species